rnacentral:rRNA from 1 species
UCGUGGAGUGAUCUGUCUGCUUAAUUGCGUUUCAGAUUUAUGCACCGAUAUGUUGUGUGGUGUGAUGUCUACGGGCACGCAUCACGCGCAUGCGAGUGCUAUGAAGGCAACGAACGUGACCGCAACCCUUUGUUGCAUCCGUCGCAGUGCGCCCAUUAGUUUAGGCUAAUGUUGUGAGCCUCGGCAAGGAUUGCAAACUAAGGGGACCG